ensembl:lncRNA
GUGGAUUUGGAUCCAGGGACGGAUGUGGAUGAACUCUUUCAGGAACUCUGACAUGCCUCUGGGAUGCUGGGCAGAGCCUGUGGCACAGUCAGAGGACUCGAGCUCCGCUUCAGCCUCUCCACAAACGGCGGCAAAGACACAGCAGCCGUGCUCCACCGGGGCAGGGAAAGCGCCCUUCUCUGCAGAGGAUGACUUGGAGAAGCUCAUGCUGGAGCUCUCAGGCGGAGAUCUGGAACAAGCAGUGGAUUCAGAGCCCGAGAAGGAUGUGGAUGAACUCCUUCAAGAACUCUCUGACAUGAUUGAGAGCGUAACCGAAUAGUAUUUUCAUAGAAUCAUAGACCCACAGAGUGGCCUGGGUCAAAAAUGACCACAAAGAUCAUCUAGAUUCAACCCCCCUGCUACGUGCAGGGUCGCCCACCACUAGAGCAGGCUGCCCAGAGCCACAUCCAGCCUGGCCUUGAAGGCCUCCAGGGAUGGGGCAUCCACAACCUCCCUGGGGCAGCCUGUUCCAGUGUGUCACCACCCUCUGGGUGAAAAACUUCCUCCUAAUAUCUAACAUAAACCUCCCCUGUCUCAGUUUGAAACCAUUCCCCCUUCUCCUGUCACAAUCCACCCAUAAUCUCUAUAUUACUAUCCGUAAUUCUGCCAUGUUAAGAAAAAAUUAAUAAAUUAUUUUUAUAUAUACUCUGAGGCUGUACUUUUUCUUGCUGAUGCUUUGCAACUAUUUCUUAACUAUUUUCUCAAAUUUUGGAGGCUUUUAUGACUUUUCCAGCUAGCUGCGGGGAUCCCUCCUUCACUCCAGUAAUUCAGGUGGGUUCUGCCCCUUUCUGUCUUGGUGGCAUUGGAGUAUCCUGUGCACCAGUGUCCUCUAUCGCAUUACGCUCCUGUGCUUCUGACAUGCUAGACCAUCUAAUCGAUGUAAUCCAAUUAGUCUGAUUUUCGCUUUCCUCCACCUGACUCGAGGCAGGGCCCUUCUAGUACUGCUUCUUUUAUUCAUAUUUCUAUCCCACUGCUUCACUGUGUCCCCACUGUCACGCAAGCAGGACCUCAGGGUGGCAUGUGGUGUGUGUGUACCCACAGUAUAUAG